ACUGAAAGAACAUGAUGUCAUGUUGUCAACUGCAUGACAUCACUUCCCUUGAGGAGGCAGUACUGGUUGUAACUGAGAAGAGCAUGGCAAAUAUCAUGGCCACAGGCAGAGCAGAAGACAUCUCGCCUAGAGAAGAGAGCACAGAACACAGGGAGAGGCAAAGCAAUGGAAGUGUUCCUCCAGCAAUCUUGCAAAUACCAAGUAUAGAGGAGGAGACGAUGAUAUCAGAGGAAUCUUGGCAUGCCUGGCCCUCAGUGAUGAAGAGAUGGGAGCCUCCUGGUGACACAUGGCAUACACCACCAAAUCAUGUUGACUUGAUGUCAGCAGUCGGUGAAAUAUGAUCAGGCCAGGAUGAUGCAUUGAGCAGUAAUAGUAUGGACAUCAAAAAAUGAAGUUUGGUGGAUGGACAUAACACUUGAAAGGUGACUGAUAGGAAGACACCAUCAAAAGAUGAGUAAGCAAAUUGGAUAUUGUGAAGCCUGUUUGGCCUUUCAGAGCCUGUGAGAAGAAUUUGUAAGAACUGAGGCUUGUUUUUGGAAAGGAUUGUACCAGGCCUCAAAAUGCUAGAAUGGAACCAGGAAUUUGGCUUAAAGGGACACUGCUUCAAGGACGUUCUGCUGCAGCCAUAGUGGAAUAGUCAUGACUGAAGAUGGAAAAUAGGGCCAGGAAUGGAAUGACUGGCCAUGGUGCCCACCUGCAGGU